rnacentral:rRNA from 1 species
CUGCGGCAGCGAACGUAUCACCCAAGACAACUUUACGGAGUUGACGAUUGACGGAGCGAAGCGACGUCAAAGCGUUCAUUAAAGUCGAGUUGGCUUAGGGAUACGUUCGUUGGGUAGGGGAGCGUUCUGUAAGCCUGUGAAGGUGGCCUGUGAGGGUUGCUGGAGGUAUCAGAAGUGCGAAUGCUGACAUAAGUAACGAUAAAGCGGGUGAAAAGCCCGCUCGCCGGAAGACCAAGGGUUCCUGUCCAACGUUAAUCGGGGCAGGGUGAGUCGACCCCUAAGGCGAGGCCGAAAGGCGUAGUCGAUGGGAAACGGGUUAAUAUUCCCGUACUUGGUGUUACUGCGAAGGGGGGACGGAGAAGGCUAUGUUGGCCGGGCGACGGUUGUCCCGGUUUAAGCGUGUAGGUGUGUGUUCCAGGUAAAUCCGGUUCACUUUAACACUGAGGCGUGAUGACGAGGCACUACGGUGCUGAAGCAACAAAUGCCCUGCUUCCAGGAAAAGCCUCUAAGCAUCAGGUAACAUCAAAUCGUACCCCAAACCGACACAGGUGGUCAGGUAGAGAAUACCAAGGCGCUUGAGAGAACUCGGGUGAAGGAACUAGGCAAAAUGGUGCCGUAACUUCGGGAGAAGGCACGCUGACACGUAGGUGAAGUGAUUUACUCAUGGAGCUGAAGUCAGUCGAAGAUACCAGCUGGCUGCAACUGUUUAUUAAAAACACAGCACUGUGCAAACACGAAAGUGGACGUAUACGGUGUGACGCCUGCCCGGUGCCGGAAGGUUAAUUGAUGGGGUCAGCGCAAGCGAAGCUCCUGAUCGAAGCCCCGGUAAACGGCGGCCGUAACUAUAACGGUCCUAAGGUAGCGAAAUUCCUUGUCGGGUAAGUUCCGACCUGCACGAAUGGCGUAAUGAUGGCCAGGCUGUCUCCACCCGAGACUCAGUGAAAUUGAACUCGCUGUGAAGAUGCAGUGUACCCGCGGCAAGACGGAAAGACCCCGUGAACCUUUACUAUAGCUUGACACUGAACAUUGAGCCUUGAUGUGUAGGAUAGGUGGGAGGCUUUGAAGUGUGGACGCCAGUCUGCAUGGAGCCGACCUUGAAAUACCACCCUUUAAUGUUU